rnacentral:piRNA from 1 species
UCAUAACCAGGCAAAAACCAC